UAGGGAAUCUUCGGCAAUGGGGGCAACCCUGACCGAGCAACGCCGCGUGAGUGAAGAAGAUUUUCGGAUCGUAAAGCUCUGUUGUAAGAGAAGAACGUGUGUGAGAGUGGAAAGUUCACACAGUGACGGUAACUUACCAGAAAGGGACGGCUAACUACGUGCCCG
rnacentral:rRNA from 1 species